GUGCGGUUGGCGUAGAGGUUGAACGCACCCACCAGCCUUCCACAAGGUCUCAGACCAGGGUAGACAUUCCAAUGGAGAAAGCGCGGGACCCAGAUUCGAACCCCGGACCGCGCA